GAGCUCAUUUGCAUGAGCGCUCCGCUUGGCCGCACCGCCACGUCUUGAUAAAUCUGGACUCUUUCCACGCACUGGGCUGGAAAAGUGCAUCAAGAUGUGGCCUGCACCAGUGCUUCUGCUCGUCCAGUCGGCUCUGCUGAUUCAAGGAUCUUCCGCCCAGGAUUUGUUGACCCAGACGGACAAAAUCAAGUAUGUCAGUCUACAUGGGACGGUGACCAUCAGCGCCAAAGGGAGUUCAAAUAUUGACGAUGAUCUCAGUUGGUACCAAGUGAAACCUGGACAGGUUCCUAAACCUCUGAUCUAUCGUGCAUCAAGUCUUGCUUCUGGAACACCAUCUCGAUUCAGUGGCACACGAUCUGGCUCUGACUACACUCUGACUAUCAGUGGUGUUCAGACAGACGAUGUCGCUGAUUACUACUGUUUUGCCUGGGUUGGACCUGGAAGGUUUACACGGUGAUUGAGAGCUGUACAAAAACCUCCUUUGGUUAGAGGGAAGUGAAAGUGGAAGAUGUGAUGAUGACUGGUCCACUGAACAAAGAUCACCAAGCAGAACCAGCGUCAACUUGAACAAGUUGAUUGGCUUGUAAGAAAAAGUUGAAAUGAGGGAAGAAGAAGUCACACUGUUCUGUCCCAUAAACAUUCUAUACCAGGGGUCUUCAAACUUUUCCAGGCCAAAGACAAUAAAGAUGGAGUGAGGACGCCCUGGCUUGUAUAAAAUUAUAUAAUUAUUCAAAUGAAAUUGUACUAAAUGAUAUUAUUAUUAUAAAUUAAAAUUAUACUUUUAGGUUUCAUACCUCAAAUCUUCAUGAAUUAACUCCUAAGUCACUCACAUUAAACUGAAUAUUGCUAAUUUAAAUACUUGUUGAAGGCCACUAAGGGCCACACAAAGACUAGACCAUGCUAAUGCUAACAAGUGUCCUAUUAUAUGAGUAGAGACUCUUAUUUAUUGGUUCACUUAGCAGGCUGAAAGGUGCCAAUUUUGCCUUAAAACAGAACUUUGGAUACAAACGGAGGUAACUUGUUGGUUUUGAAACUACAAACCUUUUCAUCAUCGGCGCACAUCAGCUUUGAAAUACUAUCUUACAGCCAAACACGGACUCCAGGAUGGCAACUUCUUUUGUAAACAGCGACUAGCGACACAUUUCAUGACUUUUCCCGCUGAUAUUGGAGACUUUUUUGUGUCUUGGAGACUCUUAGGUAAAAGUAACGGCUGCUGCCGAUGUGCUAGCAAGUUCAAUCUAAACCUAAACAUUUUGAUCUAAAUCUUUAAGGGGAACUGCACUUUUGGGGGGAAUUUGGACUAUCGUUCACCAUCUGUGAUGAUCCAUUGCCUGAAUCCUAUUUUGUUUUAGUUUAAGACUCCCCUAGUUCUGUUUCAGCACCCCUGGGUUUGUGUUUCUUGGUUGCCAUGGGUGCUGAUUAUUUUCACCUGCCUCUGAUUAGUGUUGGGGACGCUCACCUGCUCCUGGGCACUAAUCAGAGAACUAUUUAUACCUGCCUUUCGCCACACUCGGUCUGGCUGUUUUGCUUGCUACAUGCAACAAGUUACGUUUGGUUAGUCCUGUGAUUCUCGAUUCUUGUUUCUGCGCCAUAGCUUCCCAUGCUAUCGGCCCGCUUUAAUGUU